rnacentral:rRNA from 1 species
ACAAGGGUUUCCGUAGGUGAACCAGCGGAGGGAUCAUU